rnacentral:lncRNA from 1 species
GGGGAACCUCAAGUUAGAAUUUCUUCACUUCAGGGCGUGUAGAGUCUCAAUCACUACCCUGAAUUAAUGUUGCUGUUCCCCGGCUAAAUUUUUCUGGUGGUUGUUGCUGAAACAUAUCUUGCAAUUGUAAUGAGAACCACAAGGGCUGAUCUAGUCAUGACGUUGGUUUGGAAAGGGGAGAUGUCUGCAGGAUGCUCACGCAGGCCCAGGCUCCUCCUCUCGAGCCUGUCACGACAGCAACCGCUGUCAGCCUGAACCUAGGGAAUGCUGAACAUCUGGACGAAAAGCACAACCAGCCAGCCCAUCACUCAGAUAUUUCUAAAUACCCAGAGCUUUGUACUGAAAACAAAAAACAAAAAAUCAAAAAAACACCCCACCUUGACGAUGAUGAUUUUUCACUUUUCAUCCAGAUGCUGGAUGUCAGCAACAACGUUGUGCAACAGCUGUUGGGAGAGAUCACUGGAAGUCCCCCACCGCCUUGGCCAUGCCAUAUGAGCAGCACCGGGACCGGUCAGACAAGUGGGGGCGCACCGUGCCCCGAGCCCCCCGCCUUCCCAGUUUCCAGAUGAGUAACUGCCAGCCGUCUUGGGAGUAUUCAAGGAUAAUUUAUUUUGAAAAAGUACCAUCAUGACUCUCACACAGAAAUAAAGUGAACACGUGUCAAGAUUGUAUUUAACUCAUUAAUUAGUGAGGGACCCCGUGAGAUGUUACAACCUGUUCAAAGGAGAAUUCGAAGUACCUCUCAUAUAUAGUCAAAUAAGGUAUGCUGGAAUGAAUUUACAAAUAGCUGCAAAAACUGGCAAGUCUAGUCAGUAUCCACAGAACAACAAUCGGUUGCAUGCCUCCGAAAGCAAUUUGCAUUUCUAUGAGCAAGAAUUAUUUACCUGAUGAUCACUUGGGAUGUGAAUGACAGCAGGGCAGGGGGCCAGAGAAGAAGAUCAGAAGGGCCCCGUGGUGGUAAUGGGCUGCCUUCUUGCACUUGGCCGGCCCACUCCCCCGUGGGCAGGCAUCAUCUGCAGGGGCUGUGCGGGGCCCACCUGUGCACAACCUG